rnacentral:rRNA from 1 species
UACGGAGGAUCCAAGCGUUAUCCGGAAUCAUUGGGUUUAAAGGGUCCGUAGGUGGACGAUUAAGUCAGGGGUGAAAGUUUGCAGCUCAACUGUAGAAUUGCCCUUGAUACUGGUUGUCUUGAAUCAUUGUGAAGUGGUUAGAAUAUGUAGUGUAGCGGUGAAAUGCAUAGAUAUUACAUAGAAUACCAAUUGCGAAGGCAGAUCACUAAAAAUGUAUUGACACUGAUGGACGAAAGCGUGGGUAGCGAACAGG